rnacentral:lncRNA from 1 species
GUUUCUAUAAGCAUUGAUUUUGGAUGAUUUGGAGUUGUUUUGACUUUGUAAGAGCUUUGCAAAGUCAAGGUUUGUUGUAGAUGACUUGGGUUUUAUGAAAUAAAAUAGGGUUUACGUUUUGGGUGAUUUCAAAAGUUUUGUAUUAGAUCUUUAGGUGAAAUUUUGUGGGUUUAUGGUUAUAGUUGUGCUCAAUAUUUAUUGUGAAUUUGAGCUCGAUCUAACAAUUAAAUUGAGAAAUAUUGAGGUUCAAGUGGGUCAAGGUCUUAGAAAGUAGAAUUUUAGAUCUAGUGGAGGUUUUUAAGAUUUCUUGCAAUCUACUAGUUAGAUUAGAGUGAAACUUGCAUAAGAAGAUAUUAGACUUAUUUUUCUAUAUGCAUGAGAAUUUUGAAAUCAAUCGAACGGUGCAAAGAAGAGAUAUUGGCUCUAGAAAAUUAGCAUCAAGAUUGGAGGAGGAGGGCGGCCAAUACCCGAGCAUAUUUUUGAAGUUAUCAUUAAUUUGGUAACUCCGAUCCUUUUCAAUUUUUUUGUGUUUGUUUCUAACUUAUUUUUUUAAAAUUAUGCAAAAUUUGAGUUAAGAUCAACGGUUUAUUUAUUAGUUAUUAAGGUUUAAAUCUAUUAUAAGAAUUAUUAGGAUUUGGUUUAGGGUUUGGUUGGGAUUUAUUUAGGAUUUAGGGUUUGGUUAGGAUUUGGAUUAGGAUUUGAUUAGGGUUUGAUUACGGUUUGAUUUAGGAUUUAGGAUUUGGAUUAGGAUUUGGUUAGGAUUUGAUUUAGGAUUUGAAGUAGGAUUUAGGAUUUGGUUAAGAUUUGGUUUAGGAUUUGGUUGUGGUUUGAUUUAAGGUUUAUUUAGGGUCUGAUUUAGGGUUUAGAAUUUUAUUAGGAUUUAAGAUUCAAUUAGUUUUGGCCUAAAUUUUGAAUGAAUUUCAAUAGGAUUUUAAUUAAAAUUAAAUUAAGAUUGAAUUGAGAUGUAUUUGAGUGAUAUUUGUGAUCCUUUUAAUAUUUUUUUAAGAAUUUUUAUUAUUUGUUUGAAAUUUCUUUGAGGUUUUUUUGAAUUUGAUUAAGCUUGCUUAGCAUUAUUAUGGUCUAAUUAUAGUAUUUUUAAUAUUCUAUUAGAAUUAGGAUUUUGUUAUUGCAAUUUCCAUUCUUCCUUCUCCAACUAGGUGCCCGGAGCAUUUUCAAGCAAGACUUCAUGUAUUACGACAUUGUGUAGUUGAAAUCUUAUGCAAUAUUUAAUAAAGUUCCUAUCUUCUCUUUAGAUCAUUCAUCUUGUUUUAUA